rnacentral:rRNA from 1 species
AGGACAGCAGUAGCCGCGGUAAUACGUAGGGUGCAAGCGUUAAUCGGAAUUACUGGGCUUAAAGCGUGCGCAGGCGGUUAUAUAAGACAGAUGUGAAAUCCCCGGGCUCAACCUGGGAACUGCAUUUGUGACUGUAUAGCUAGAGUACGGCAGAGGGGGAUGGAAUUCCGCGUGUAGCAGUGAAAUGCGUAGAUAUGCGGAGGAACACCGAUGGCGAAGGCAAUCCCCUGGGCCUGUACUGACGCUCACGCACGAAAGCGUGGGGAGCAAACAGGAUUAGAUACCCCUGUAGUCCUGUCUCUUAUACA